UUCCUAGAAUUAAGGAAACAAAUACUUGUGAUGAGUCACAUUCGUUUAGCAAUAAGUUUCAAACGGUGACCAGGGAGGCAUAAGAUUCGUCCACAUUGUAAGAAUAAAGUGGAGCAGGAAAGCAGAUUUGACCAACAAUGACUAAAGUGUUUUAUCCAUUCUGGUAGCUUGCAUACCAAAAAUAUUUUUUAAGAAACUUCUCUUUAGUGAAACAGCAGGUCAAAAUAGAAGAAGAAAAGUUAUUCAGUAGGAAGGUUGUCUCAGGUAUUAUAAAAGAUUGCAAGAACUUUGACAACAAUACAUAGUGAUGGCCUAAAACAUUAGGAGACAACUGGUCAAAGAGAACCAGAAACCAAAGGAGUGUCUCAGUGGGUAUAUAUGUAAUCUAAUGUGUUUUUAACAUGGCUACAAGUAGACUUGCACAUAGGGUCAUAUCUAAGGUUAACAUAUGUUCAUAUGCAACUCACCAGGUCCUUUUGCUCCUCCUUUUUUAAGUCUACCAACCCUGAAUAUUACUGCCCUUUCAUAUUCUUGGACAAUCUAUAAACAAAAACAGAUUUAAGCUGGUCUUGGCAACAAGAAUGCUGAUAAAGUUCUAGAUUGCUUUUUGUGAGGUAUCUUAGCAAAAAUGCUGAUCCCAUAUAUCUUAGUUUCUUAUGUUUUAACAAAGUGAGCCUAUAUUUCUCAAUGUAGCAAAUAAGGAAUACCAUAACCUGCUGAGAACAAACAACAAUAAACACAGGUAAUUAACUGUGGCUUAUAUUUCGUCUGGGCUUACGGGGCUUCAUCACAGCAAAAGUGUAUAUUUCCAAAGUUGCUUUUUUUGGUUGGUUGGUGAUUUGCUAGCUGACUUAAUUUGCAUAACAUUAAAUAAAAAUAUACAACACAAAUCAAGUAAACCAAAAAAUUUAUGGUGAACAUUUUUGGUUGGGGGAAAGCAGCCCACAAUCUAGGCAUAAUUACAUUUUUUACUCAUUUUGGAAUAUCAAUUUGAUGUUUCCCACUAUUGGUUCUUCAGUGUUGAGAAUACUUAAAGUAGAUUCUAAGAUUAACUUAUUGCAAUUAUUCUAACAAAUUAUAGUUAAAAACAUUUCAAGGAGACAAUAUUGCCAAUUUAUAUUUUGAAAAUCAAGUGAAACCCUCUUUAUGACAGAGGCAAAAUAAUGUGGCAAAUCUGGUUACCUUUAUGCUGAAAAGCAAAGAAAAUGGAAAUGUACAGCAGAUGAUGAGGAACGACAGAGCCGUAAGAAUCCAGCCACAUAUUCCAAGCUCAUCAUUGCCACGCUCAAUUUCUAGAAAAAGAAAUCACAAAAAUAUAGAAUUUGAGAUAAUUUUUCUGUUCCCUGUUAAAUGUCUUAAAGACUAUUAUUUGUUAAAAUAUAAAGGGGAAUCAUUCUGUAAAUGUGGCUGUGCAUAUAUGUAGAUGUUGGGGAUAAAUAAUUCACACUUGGCAGCUCAGACUUGUCCUAGCAGUAUGAAUAUUUUGUUUUAAAUAUUAUGGAAAAAUAGAGUUUGGGAAAGUCUGUCUCUCUGUAGAUACAUGCUGCGAAUUGCAUCUACAUGCAGUUGACAAAUUGUAUGUGGAUAUUCAAGAAAACUUCAUUUAAAAGAAUUUGUUGGUAGCAGGAAAAUCUGAUACCAAAAGGAAAAUAUAAAGUCAAAUACAUUCAAAAGUACUGCUCUCGGAUCGCAAUAAUUUUCAGAAAAAUGUUUAUUCUCACAUGAUCUCAAUUGAUCCCUUUGUCUUCUUAUUAUAAGAAAACAAACAAGAAUUUUCAUCAAAAUUUUAACAAUAGUUAACCAUCAUGAUGCUAGGCACAAAGUUUGUGUUUCUUGUUAGUUUUAUAAAUUCCACAUUUCACAUUAAUUGAAACUUCGAGUGAGAUUUUAAAGGGAUGCCCUUUUAAAAUAAAAUAUGCUCAGAUAAACAAAAGGCAAUCAAAAAUCCUAAAACUUAAAACAACACUUAAAACUACUGUAGUUAUAAGUGAUGCUAGAACAGCCUGCUGUGGUGACUAAGCUGAGCCUGGCCUUUGUAUUUCUAUAGGCGAGCUGUGAAUUGCUCAUCACAUUUGUUAAGGCAAGCCAUAUCACGAACAGUGUGAUUUAUAAUCAUAUUUAAAAUGGCCUAGAUGUCAAUCAAAAUUAUAAUCAUCAAUAUAGUAAUAUUUAAAGAAAUUGCUGUUAAAGAUCCCUUCAACCUCUAACGUUGACAUUUUUGUUUUUGUCUGUUUUCAAGUUACAUCUAAACAGAACCUGCAAAUGAAUGGAGCUUUGUAGGAGCAAAUUUCAAACAGCCAGCCCUGUUUAGCUUUUUGUAGAAAAUAUUGUAAUCCUUAAUAAAGCUAUCUGAUGACCUGACACACAUUACUGGUUGAAUUGUAAUUAGCUGCUUAGUCAACAGAAAAAUGGCUAGAUAGAGCUACCACAUAAAGAAACUCACAGAACCAAUGACACAAUAAAUAUUUAUCUUUAAGGAGAAAGCACUAUACAGGUGUGUACAACUGAUUUUAUCUUUGUUAAUUACGUAAACUAACAGGUAAAACUUCUAUUUUGGGAAUACAAAUUGUAUAGUCCCCUCAUUUAAGUAAUU